AGUGAACGCUGGCGGCGUGCCUAAUACAUGCAAGUCGAACGGAGAUUAAGUAGCUUGCUAUUUACUCUUAGUGGCGCACGGGUGAGUAAUAUAUAGCUAACUUGCCCAUUACUAAGGGACAACAGUUGGAAACGACUGCUAAUACCUUAUACUCCGUAUCUAUAUAAGUAGAUACGGGAAAGUUUUUCGGUAAUGGAUAGGGCUAUAUCGUAUCAGCUAGUUGGUAAGGUAAUGGCUUACCAAGGCUAUGACGCGUAACUGGUCUGAGAGGAUGAUCAGUCACUCUGGAACUGAGACACGGUCCAGACUCCUACGGGAGGCAGCAGUAGGGAAUAUUGCUCAAUGGGGGAAACCCUGAAGCAGCAACGCCGCGUGGAGGAUGACACUUUUCGGAGCGUAAACUCCUUUUCUUGGGAAAGAAUUAUGACGGUACCCAAGGAAUAAGCACCGGCUAACUCCGUG
rnacentral:rRNA from 1 species